CUGAAUAAAUGCAAAGACCACAUGAGGUUACUAUAACCGAGAUAAACAAUAAAGAUCAAAGCAAAGGAAAGAAAAAUUAAAUUCUGAUACAUAAUAAAUUCACAAAAGAAAAUAUUAGGGAUUACAUUUUCAGAGUGGAGACAAAAUAAAACACUAAAUAUAGGGAAAGACAAGUUUUAACGGAAAGAGCAAAAACGGCAAAGAUUUAGAUGAACGACUUCUAGAUUCCUCCAUUGCUGACAGACAAAAAAGACUACAGGAUAAGCCUAGCAGGGCCCGCAGGUGUCCCAGAGCUUCUUGCUGUAGCGGGGCAGGGCGCANGGGCUGCAAGAAGCCAGGGCAGCUUGUGCAGAGCUCAGCUUCUCCAUGCUGGGCUGAAGCGGCACCAGGGCCUUGGGGCUAUUGCUGGUGGCUCUAGCAGGGCCCGCAGGUGUCCCAGAGCUUCUUGCUGUAGCG
rnacentral:lncRNA from 1 species